AUGGGUAUUUGUAAUGUUACCAAGAAAAUGAGCUAUAUAAAUAAUAAAGUGAUAAAUACAUAUAUUACAAACAAAGGAGGGAGAUAUGGCUAAAAUUAUCAAUUUUGUUUAUAAUAUGAUUAUCUUUUUUUCCUUAUUUCUGGUUGCAACGAAUGCUGGAGGGUGUAAUCCAUGUCUCGUUACUUGUCCUGAUGAUCUACUAAAUAGGUGUCCCCCUGGUAUGGAACCGAUAUGUGAGUAUGGAGUAAUUAAAUGUUAUCCGAUAGGGAAGGAAACAAAUCGUGUGCUCACAUGAUUCUUCAUUUAUUUCUAGACCCCAAAUAGUACACAAAUGCUCCUACAAUAUUCCACGAGCUGUCAUUUAGUUAUUUUCUCACAACCCAAUAAAUUAAUUUUUUUUUUCUUUUUAGAAUUUGAAGAACUUUUUAGAUUUAUAUUUGCACUCUAAAAUAAUGAUAAUGAAAUGAAAUAAGACAGCAGCACAUAUUAUUUAGAUUAUAUUCUUCUCUCUUUAUUUGGACUAGCGUUCAGACGGGCACUCCCGUGCCUGUUUGUCCGCUCUUUCUACUACGCUAUAGCAUGUAACUCAUAAACAGUAUGUUUUUCAACAUCAAUGUUGUUUAGUUUUUCUUGAUA